UUCCGGUUGAUCCCGCCGGACCCGACUGCUAUCGGAUCGAGAUUUAGCCAUGCGAGUUGAACGUUCCUUGAUUGCAGGGAGCGUAGCAUACGGCUCAGUAACACGUAGUCAACCUGCCCUGGAGACAUGGAUAACCCCGGGAAACUGGGACCAAUCCGUGAUAGGUCACUUCAUCUGGAAGGAGAGGUGGCCCAAAGGGGAAUUGUGGGCUUCCACUUUUUUCGCUCCAGGAUGGGACUGCGGCCGAUCAGGCUGUUGGCGGGGUAAUGGCCCACCAAACCUGUAACCGGUACGGGCUUUGAGGGAAGGAGCCCGGAGAUGGACACUGAGACAAGGGUCCAGGCCCUACGGGGCGCAUCAGGCGCGAAAACUUCGCAAUGCGCGAAAGCGUGACGAGGCUAGUCCGAGUGCCUUCUGCUAAAGAGGGCUUUUCUCGGCUGUAAAUAGGCCGGGGAAUAAGGGGAGGGCAAGUCUGGUGUCAGCCGCCGCGGUAAUACCAGCUCCUCGAGUGGUCGGGACGAUUAUUGGGCCUAAAGCACCCGUAGCCGGUUCCGUAAGUCUUCUGUUAAAUCCAGCUGCUCAACGGCUGGCCUGCAGGAGAUACUGCGAGACUAGGAGGCGGGAGAGGCGGACGGUACUCCGCGUGUAGGGGUAAAAUCCUUUGAUCCGCGGAAGACCACCAGUGGCGAAGGCGGUCUGCCAGAACGCGCUCGACGGUGAGGGGUGAAAGCUGGGGGAGCGAACCGGAUUAGAUACCCGGGUAGUCCCAGCCGUAAACGAUGCGAGCUAGAUGAUUCGAUCGCAGUUCGCGAUCGAAGUGUCGCAGGGAAGCCGUUAAGCUCGCCGCCUGGGGAGUACGGUCGCAAGGCUGAAUCGUAUGCAGAAAAUUCUGUAUGCGCAGUUCACUUAAAGGAAUUGGCGGGGAGCA
rnacentral:rRNA from 1 species